rnacentral:lncRNA from 1 species
UGGUGAGGUCAUAAAAGGCUUGACUCCACCCUGGUGUCUGCAUCCCCAGGCCCGCCCACCCCCAGCCAGGGAGGGAGAAGAGAUUCAUCCUGUGCCCCCACACCAUACACCAGGACCCUCUCACCCCCGAGUACUUGUGGAAGGUGGCGACCAUCACAGCCAGCGCCUGCUCCAGGGGACUGGACAUCUUGGAUCUGAGGCAGACCAAUCAAGACAACAUCUUUCAUUUUUUUCCAUUUUUUUUUAUUAAUCAAAUGAUACAAAACAACCAUCAUCCUGUAAAUGCCCAAGCGCCCAGCUGGUUCUCUCACCCCCCAAAGUCACCAUCCUCAGCCUCUCCCUGAGCCUGCUCUCUCUCUCUUCCCCUGCCCUAAGCCAG